UACGAAGGGGGCUAGCGUUGCUCGGAAUCACUGGGCGUAAAGCGCGCGUAGGCGGCUUUGUAAGUUAGAGGUGAAAGCCCGGAGCUCAACUCCGGAACUGCCUUUAAAACUGCAUCGCUUGAAUCCAGGAGAGGUGAGUGGAAUUCCGAGUGUAGAGGUGAAAUUCGUAGAUAUUCGGAAGAACACCAGUGGCGAAGGCGGCUCACUGGACUGGUAUUGACGCUGAGGUGCGAAAGCGUGGGGAGCAAACAGG
rnacentral:rRNA from 1 species